rnacentral:lncRNA from 1 species
UCCAGCUUACACAAUGACUUCAGUCUGCAGUAGAGGGUUCCUUGCAAUUGUUGGUUCUCCAUGACUUCAGUCCUACAAUCCAAUAUUUUCCUAAUGAUCCAGGAAGCAUUUUUUGGCAGAGGCACAUAGCUGAUAUCAUUCUGUUUUAUGUAGUAGCACUGGAGCCAUUUGAUCCAUAGGCAGUCUUUUUUCUUAGCAAUGUCCCAAAGCAGUUUUGUUAUAGCUGCCUUAUUCCAGGUAGCCAUAUCUAUGAU